rnacentral:rRNA from 1 species
UACGUAGGGUGCAAGCGUUAUCCGGAAUUAUUGGGCGUAAAGAGCUCGUAGGCGGUUUGUCGCGUCUGCUGUGAAAACCCGAGGCUCAACCUCGGGCCUGCAGUGGGUACGGGCAGACUAGAGUGCGGUAGGGGAGAUUGGAAUUCCUGGUGUAGCGGUGGAAUGCGCAGAUAUCAGGAGGAACACCGAUGGCGAAGGCAGAUCUCUGGGCCGUAACUGACGCUGAGGAGUGAAAGCAUGGGGAGCGAACAGG